rnacentral:rRNA from 1 species
UACAGAGGGGGCAAGCGUUAUUCGGGCUUAUUGGGCGUAAAGGGCGCGUGGGCGGUUUCUUAAGUCAGAUGUGUAAUCCCCGAGCUUAACUUGGGAACUGCAUCUGAGACUGGGAGGCUAGAGUACUGGAGAGGGUGGUGGAAUUCCUCGUGUAGCGGUGAAAUGCGUAGAGAUGAGGAGGAACACCAGUGGCGAAGGCGGCCACCUGGACAGUAACUGACGCUGAGGCGCGAAAGUGUGGGUAGCAAACAGG